GCCCCUAAUUGCUAAGAAGAAUCCUAAGAUCCCAAUGUCUAAGAUGAUGACCAUCCUUGGGGCCAAAUGGAGAGAGUUCAGCGCCAACAACCCCUUCAAGGGGUCAGCAGCUGCUGUGGCGGCGGCAGCGGCAGCAGCAGCAGCAGCUGUAGCUGAGCAGGUGUCAGCUGCUGUCUCGUCGGCCACCCCCAUAGCACCCUCCGGACCCCCCGCCCUUCCACCACCCCCUGCUGCUGAUAUCCAGCCCCCACCCAUCCGAAGAGCCAAAACCAAAGAGGGCAAAGGUCCAGGCCAUAAGAGGCGGAGUAAGAGCCCCCGAGUGCCUGAUGGACGCAAGAAGCUUCGGGGAAAGAAAAUGGCACCACUCAAAAUAAAACUAGGGCUUCUGGGUGGCAAGAGGAAGAAAGGAGGCUCGAGUGACGAAGGUCCUGAACCAGAGGCUGAGGAAUCAGACCUGGACAGUGGCAGUGUCCACAGUGCCUCAGGCCGGCCUGAUGGCCCUGUCCGCACCAAGAAACUAAAGAGAGGCCGGCCAGGAAGGAAGAAGAAGAAGGUCCUGGGCUGUCCUGCAGUGGCCGGGGAGGAGGAGGUUGAUGGCUACGAGACGGAUCACCAGGAUUACUGUGAGGUGUGCCAGCAGGGUGGGGAAAUUAUUCUGUGUGACACCUGCCCUCGUGCCUACCACCUCGUCUGCCUUGAUCCUGAGCUUGACCGGGCUCCAGAGGGCAAAUGGAGCUGCCCUCACUGUGUGAGUACCUAAUGCCAGCAUCUGAUGGCCCUGAGGAACCCACCCAUCUCUUUCCCCCUUGGUUUCACUUACCCUCUUCCUGCCCCCAGAUGGCUGGACUUCUUAGUAACAGAUGUCCGAGUGUCUAGGAUCCUAAUGUAUUCCUUUCUCCCACAAUCAACAUUUCUGAAACUGGAGUGUCCU
rnacentral:sRNA from 1 species